UACGAAGGGGGCUAGCGUUGUUCGGAAUUACUGGGCGUAAAGCGUGCGCAGGCGGCUCUCAAGUCAGGGGUGAAAGCCCAGAGCUCAACUCUGGAAUUGCCUUUGAGACUGAGUGGCUUGAGUACGGGAGAGGUGAGUGGAAUUCCCAGUGUAGAGGUGAAAUUCGGUAGAUAUUGGGAAGAACACCGGUGGCGAAGGCGGCUCACUGGCCCGUAACUGACGCUCAUGCACGACAGCGUGGGGAUCAAACAGG
rnacentral:rRNA from 1 species